rfam:Populus trichocarpa scaffold_1_contig_25, whole genome shotgun sequence.
GUAUUCGUAGAAAGGAGAUAUGGUUGGCAUUUCCCCUGACAUGUCAGGGACGGGAAUAGUCUUCGAGCUCCCCUGUUACUGCACAUCUGGUGAAGGCUACCCGCCUCUCAGGCGGAUAUAUAACCUCAAUUUAAC